rnacentral:lncRNA from 1 species
AGGAAAGAGAAUAACAUUGUAGAGGACAAGAGCCAGUACAUUCAUGAAUGUUUCCCACUUUUCCUCCUAGGUCAAUCAAUGCAAGAACCACCGUAGGUAUCCUUGAGGAAGGUCCCUUGUUGUACCUUUAAGUAUGAAUUCACUCGCCAUCUUUAAGGGUGUACCUUUGCGAUUUUCACUAACUGCAAGAUANAGGUAUACUGCCCAGGGUAGUUGUAUGGAGCUUUGCCCUUAAGAAAUGCAUUUAAGGUCUCCUCAAAUUCUUCUAUUGUUGGCAUCAACUAGAAAUGGGUCAUAGUGUUGGGCUAAAACAAUAAUUGUUGUUGUCUGGACCUCCACCUCUGACAGGGUCCACAAAUUCCCACCCAUUCCUGAAUGCAUUUUUCAAGGUCAUCUUUUUCAUAACCCUCAAGAGAUUGAUGUUGCCCCCCUUGACUUCAAUGCGUAUGCUUUUCUUCAAAAAGUCUAAACCUGAAUGCCCCUUGACUCAAAAUCCCAUGUUAAUUUCCAUUUUUACCGUCAUCACGACUUUAUAAUUUCUUGACUAGAUCUCACAAAAUUUUGACAAGACCAUAAAAACAUGAGCAACAAUGAAAGAAUGCAGUGAUAUGUACAAGGUGCUUGAUUUUAUUAAGCAAAAAUGAGGGUUAUAAGGCUGCAGACAUCUCCCUUUGUGCCCUAGUGAAGGUUCAACAUUUUAGAUUUAAGGUCAAGUAUAUGCAACCUCACAAGGAUGGUUCCCUGAACCUAAAGGUCAAUGGUCACUAGAGCUAUGGCCCCCUCCACAGCAUCUCCACAACAGUCGAGUAAUCAACUAGGUGUGGAAACACACAUGAAGAGAACAGACUCUAGCUGGAGUUCUCACGAUAGCCAAACAGGAAGUACAUCCCAGAGUGACACCGCUACACAACUCCUCUAAUUCUAAGUUACGCUCAGACCCGGGUAUAGGGCCCCACUCAUGAUAUGCUGAAAGUGUGUGUGUGAAGGGAGAACAUCAUGCACAUCCAAACCCUCACCUGCAAAACAGCCAGAAAAAUUCCUAGGCAGGUAUAAACAUAUUGUCUGCCCUAGGGUUCAAUAUUCAAGCAAAUCACAUGCAAUUAUUUCAAACAUCAAACAUAGAUAAGAAAAGGGAAAGAAAAACACAAAGCAAAACCACAUCGAAAUUCGCGCAUCUAACUAAACGGCCUGACUCUCGAAUGUCCCCAGCGGAGUCGCCAUCUGUCGCAACCGAAAAAAUCGCGACGGGACGACGACGAUCCAAAAAGAAAUUUAAUUUGAAAAAAAUAUGUUUUGGAGUCGCCACCAUAGUUUAUUCUGGAAAACUAUGGAAAAAACCAUAAAAAUAUAAGACACGGUCCACGAAAACCAAAGAUUGGGUUCGGGAGUCGGUUACGCGUAGGGAAGGUGUUAGCACCCUACAACGCCUGCCCAAAGGCAGUACCUUUAAUUAAAUNCGCGANUAAAGAUGUGGUUUGCAAAAUGUUUAACUAUCCCAAGAACAAUGAUAUAAAGGAACAAAAAUAUUUUUUAGUUUUUUGGGCCCGACAAGGAUUGACCUUGCUCCUACGUAUUCUCAGUCAUACUGAGAAAUCAGGGUUACGUAGUUCUUCAAAAAGGUUGAUUGUUUGAAGAUGUUUUUAGUUUUUGAAGAUUUUAUAUUUUUUUGUAUUUUUUAUAUAGAAAGAGAAAAGGUUUUUAGCACAAGGCCUACGCGAGCGGUCGCACGUGUGCUUAAACC